AGAUACCCUGGUAGUCCACGCAGUAAACGAUGAAUACUGGGUGUUCGGAAUGUAGAUUCUGAGUGCCGAAGCGAAAGCGUUAAGUAUUCCACCUGGGGAGUACGCCGGCAACGGUGAAACUCAAAGGAAUUGACGGGGGCCCGCACAAGCGGAGGAACAUGUGGUUUAAUUCGAUGAUACGCGAGGAACCUUACCCGGGCUCAAACGCCGCCGGACAGGAAAAGAGAUUUUCCCUCCUACGGGUCGGCGGCGAGGUGCUGCAUGGUUGUCGUCAGCUCGUGCCGUGAGGUGUCGGCUUAAGUGCCAUAACGAGCGCAACCCCCAUCGACAGUUGCUAACAGGUAAAGCUGAGGACUCUGUCGAGACUGCCGGCGCAAGCUGUGAGGAAGGCGGGGAUGACGUCAAAUCAGCACGGCCCUUACGUCCGGGGCUACACACGUGUUACAAUGGGGCAUACAGAGAGUUGGUCAUGCGCAAGCAUGAUCGGAUCAUGAAAGUGUCCCUCAGUUCGGACUGGGGUCUGCAACCCGACCCCACGAAGCUGGAUUCGCUAGUAAUCGCGCAUCAGCCAUGGCGCGGUGAAUACGUUCCCGGGCCUUGUACACACCGCCCGUCAAGCCAUGAAAGCCGGGGGCGCCUGAAGUCCGUGACCGCGAGGGUCGGCCUAGGGUGAAACCGGUGACUGGGGCUAAGUCGUAACAAGGUAAC
rnacentral:rRNA from 1 species